rnacentral:ncRNA from 1 species
AAAUUGAAAAGGCAAAUCUGUGGAAAUGCAGAGACGCAAAACUACAGGGGCUAACCCGAACGGUAUGCCAGCCAGUUACCUUG